GCCUGGGUGGCUCAGUCGGUUAAGUGUCCGACUUUGGCUCAGGUCAUAAUCUCACGGUUUGUGGGUUCGAGCCCCACAUCGGGCU
rnacentral:tRNA from 1 species